UCGAGAAUCUUCCGCAAUGGGCGAAAGCCUGACGGAGCGACGCCGCGUGCGGGACGAAGGCCUUCGGGUUGUAAACCGCUGUCAGAGAGGCGGAAAUGCACGUGGGCUAUCCCUCGUGUUUGACCUAAUCUCAGAGGAAGCGCAGGCUAAGUUCGUGCCAGCAGCCGCGGUAACACGAACUGCGCGAACGUUAUUCGGAAUCACUGGGCUUAAAGAGUCCGUAGGCGGCCUGGAAGGUGGGGUGUGAAAUCCCACAGCUCAACUGUGGAACUGCGCUCCAAACCGCCAGGCUGGAGGGAGUCAGGGGUGAGCGGAACUGAUGGUGGAGCGGUGAAAUGCGUUGAUAUCAUCAGGAACACCGGUGGCGAAGGCGGCUCACUGGGGCUCUUCUGACGCUGAGGGACGAAAGCUAGGGGAGCGAACGGGAUUAGAUACCCCCGUAGUCC
rnacentral:rRNA from 1 species